UCGGGAAUUUUGGGCAAUGGGCGAAAGCCUGACCCAGCAACGCCGCGUGAAGGAUGAAGUAUUUCGGUAUGUAAACUUCGUAAGAAUAGGAAGAAUAAAUGACGGUACUAUUUGUAAGGUCCGGCUAACUACGUGCCAGCAGCCGCGGUAAUACGUAGGGACCAAGCGUUGUUCGGAUUUACUGGGCGUAAAGGGCGCGUAGGCGGCGUGGUAAGUCAUCUGUGAAAUCUCCGAGCUUAACUCGGAACGGUCAGAUGAUACUGCUGUGCUAGAGUACAGAAAGGGCAAUCGGAAUUCUUGGUGUAGCGGUGAAAUGCGUAGAUAUCAAGAGGAACACCUGAGGCGAAGGCGGGUUGCUAGGCUGAUACUGACGCUGAGGCGCGAAAGCUAGGGUAGCAAACGGGAUUAGAUACCCUUGUAGUCC
rnacentral:rRNA from 1 species